rnacentral:rRNA from 1 species
UACGUAGGGUGCGAGCGUUGUCCGGAAUUAUUGGGCGUAAAGAGCUCGUAGGCGGUGUGUCGCGUCGGUCGUGAAAACUUGGGGCUUAACUCUGAGCUUGCGGUCGAUACGGGCAUCACUUGAGUUCGGCAGGGGAGACUGGAAUUCCUGGUGUAGCGGUGAAAUGCGCAGAUAUCAGGAGGAACACCGGUGGCGAAGGCGGGUCUCUGGGCCGUAACUGACGCUGAGGAGCGAAAGCAUGGGGAGCGAACAGG